rnacentral:ribozyme from 1 species
CUUCGGCUACCAUACUGGUGGAGGAGGGCAAAGAGGUGAUAGCUGGACAACAUACCGACAGUGUUAACUCCAUCUCCUUCUCCUCCCACUCAGCUGUAGCUGUGACGGGGUCGGAUGAUAGCUGGACAACAUACCG